GAAUCCAUUCUCCAUAUUCAUGAAUAGUGAAGAAUCACCACACAUAUGGUUGCUGCAGCCAGUGUCCAGAAACCACACAUCUUGUUGAUUGAUUCUAGAAGAUUCAACAUAUGCCAUAAGCAGCAUCUCUUCUGAUUCUUCAAGCUCAACAUAGUUUGCUUGCUUCGAUAAACUUGGACACUCGUACUGAUAGUGUCCUAGCUAAUGGCAUGUGUAGCAUUCGACGGUCGCCCUGUUGUAACUUUGUCGACCCCUGCCUCUG
rnacentral:lncRNA from 1 species